AGCGUACACGGUGGAUGCCCUGGCAGUCAGAGGCGAUGAAGGACGUGCUAAUCUGCGAUAAGCGUCGGUAAGGUGAUAUGAACCGUUAUAACCGGCGAUUUCCGAAUGGGGAAACCCAGUGUGUUUCGACACACUAUCAUUAACUGAAUCCAUAGGUUAAUGAGGCGAACCGGGGGAACUGAAACAUCUAAGUACCCCGAGGAAAAGAAAUCAACCGAGAUUCCCCCAGUAGCGGCGAGCGAACGGGGAGCAGCCCAGAGCCUGAAUCAGUGUGUGUGUUAGUGGAAGCGUCUGGAAAGGCGCGCGAUACAGGGUGACAGCCCCGUACACAAAAAUGCACAUGCUGUGAGCUCGAUGAGUAGGGCGGGACACGUGGUAUCCUGUCUGAAUAUGGGGGGACCAUCCUCCAAGGCUAAAUACUCCUGACUGACCGAUAGUGAACCAGUACCGUGAGGGAAAGGCGAAAAGAACCCCGGCGAGGGGAGUGAAAAAGAACCUGAAACCGUGUACGUACAAGCAGUGGGAGCACGCUUAGGCGUGUGACUGCGUACCUUUUGUAUAAUGGGUCAGCGACUUAUAUUCUGUAGCAAGGUUAACCGAAUAGGGGAGCCGAAGGGAAACCGAGUCUUAACUGGGCGUUAAGUUGCAGGGUAUAGACCCGAAACCCGGUGAUCUAGCCAUGGGCAGGUUGAAGGUUGGGUAACACUAACUGGAGGACCGAACCGACUAAUGUUGAAAAAUUAGCGGAUGACUUGUGGCUGGGGGUGAAAGGCCAAUCAAACCGGGAGAUAGCUGGUUCUCCCCGAAAGCUAUUUAGGUAGCGCCUCGUGAAUUCAUCUCCGGGGGUAGAGCACUGUUUCGGCAAGGGGGUCAUCCCGACUUACCAACCCGAUGCAAACUGCGAAUACCGGAGAAUGUUAUCACGGGAGACACACGGCGGGUGCUAACGUCCGUCGUGAAGAGGGAAACAACCCAGACCGCCAGCUAAGGUCCCAAAGUCAUGGUUAAGUGGGAAACGAUGUGGGAAGGCCCAGACAGCCAGGAUGUUGGCUUAGAAGCAGCCAUCAUUUAAAGAAAGCGUAAUAGCUCACUGGUCGAGUCGGCCUGCGCGGAAGAUGUAACGGGGCUAAACCAUGCACCGAAGCUGCGGCAGCGACGCUGAUGCGUUGUUGGGUAGGGGAGCGUUCUGUAAGCCUGCGAAGGUGUGCUGUGAGGCAUGCUGGAGGUAUCAGAAGUGCGAAUGCUGACAUAAGUAACGAUAAAGCGGGUGAAAAGCCCGCUCGCCGGAAGACCAAGGGUUCCUGUCCAACGUUAAUCGGGGCAGGGUGAGUCGACCCCUAAGGCGAGGCCGAAAGGCGUAGUCGAUGGGAAACAGGUUAAUAUUCCUGUACUUGGUGUUACUGCGAAGGGGGGACGGAGAAGGCUAUGUUGGCCGGGCGACGGUUGUCCCGGUUUAAGCGUGUAGGCUGGUUUUCCAGGCAAAUCCGGAAAAUCAAGGCUGAGGCGUGAUGACGAGGCACUACGGUGCUGAAGCAACAAAUGCCCUGCUUCCAGGAAAAGCCUCUAAGCAUCAGGUAACAUCAAAUCGUACCCCAAACCGACACAGGUGGUCAGGUAGAGAAUACCAAGGCGCUUGAGAGAACUCGGGUGAAGGAACUAGGCAAAAUGGUGCCGUAACUUCGGGAGAAGGCACGCUGAUAUGUAGGUGAAGUCCCUCGCGGAUGGAGCUGAAAUCAGUCGAAGAUACCAGCUGGCUGCAACUGUUUAUUAAAAACACAGCACUGUGCAAACACGAAAGUGGACGUAUACGGUGUGACGCCUGCCCGGUGCCGGAAGGUUAAUUGAUGGGGUUAGCGCAAGCGAAGCUCUUGAUCGAAGCCCCGGUAAACGGCGGCCGUAACUAUAACGGUCCUAAGGUAGCGAAAUUCCUUGUCGGGUAAGUUCCGACCUGCACGAAUGGCGUAAUGAUGGCCAGGCUGUCUCCACCCGAGACUCAGUGAAAUUGAACUCGCUGUGAAGAUGCAGUGUACCCGCGGCAAGACGGAAAGACCCCGUGAACCUUUACUAUAGCUUGACACUGAACAUUGAGCCUUGAUGUGUAGGAUAGGUGGGAGGCUUUGAAGUGUGGACGCCAGUCUGCAUGGAGCCGACCUUGAAAUACCACCCUUUAAUGUUUGAUGUUCUAACGUGGACCCGUAAUCCGGGUUGCGGACAGUGUCUGGUGGGUAGUUUGACUGGGGCGGUCUCCUCCUAAAGAGUAACGGAGGAGCACGAAGGUUGGCUAAUCCUGGUCGGACAUCAGGAGGUUAGUGCAAUGGCAUAAGCCAGCUUGACUGCGAGCGUGACGGCGCGAGCAGGUGCGAAAGCAGGUCAUAGUGAUCCGGUGGUUCUGAAUGGAAGGGCCAUCGCUCAACGGAUAAAAGGUACUCCGGGGAUAACAGGCUGAUACCGCCCAAGAGUUCAUAUCGACGGCGGUGUUUGGCACCUCGAUGUCGGCUCAUCACAUCCUGGGGCUGAAGUAGGUCCCAAGGGU
rnacentral:rRNA from 1 species